CCUACGGGUGGCAGCAGUGAGGAAUAUUGGUCAAUGGGCGGGAGCCUGAACCAGCCAAGUCGCGUGAGGGAAGACGGUCCUAUGGAUUGUAAACCUCUUUAGUAGGGGAGCAAUGCCGGGCACGCGUGCCCGUAUGGAUAGUACCCGCAGAAUAAGCAUCGGCUAACUCCGUGCCAGCAGCCGCGGUAAUACGGAGGAUGCGAGCGUUAUCCGGCUUUAUUGGGUUUAAAGGGUGAGUCGGCGGAUUUUUAAGUCAGUGGUAAAUUGUCCGGGCUAAACCCGGGGCGGCAGUUGGAACUGGGGAUCUUGAGUGGGCGAGAAGUAUGCGGAAGGCGUGGUGUAGCGGUGAAAUGCAUAGAUAUCACGCAGAACUCCGAUUGCGAAGGCAGCAUACCGGAGCCCGACUGACGCUGAGGCACGAAAGCGUGGGGAUCGAACAGGAUUAGAUACCCUGGUAGUC
rnacentral:rRNA from 1 species